rnacentral:tRNA from 1 species
AGGUUAGCGGCCUUUUAAUCCGCUGGUCGCUGGUUCGAUUCCAGCACGGCCCACCA